rnacentral:hammerhead_ribozyme from 1 species
GUCCAGCUGACGAGUCCCAAAUAGGAUGAAACGUGUGAAUCAAACUGGAU